rnacentral:piRNA from 1 species
UUCUUAGUCAUUUUUCUGAGUCAUGCUCUG